AGUUUUCAAAGUCGGUCUGUGUGGAAGGAUGGCACGUAGUGUCUCCGUCCACAUACACCCCUUUGGGUCAAAGGGAUUCGGAAGGCACUGACUCGAGUCACCGUGUGCUGCUGUUUACUUGACAAUCUGGUGCGGACGCUGUUUCCUCUUCUGUUUCACAGUCAGGAAAACUCAGCACAGGAAAACUGCCAAGCGACAGAAACGUUUAGGAUAUGCCAGCUAAGUGUGCCCAGGGUGCACUUAGUUCUGUCUGCGUGCACAUCUUUGUUAACGUGUGUUCAUUUACUCGGCUCUGCUCUCUACGCCUUUCCCUCAUCCUCUGUUUAACCUAACAGGACGCACAGCUUUUCCCCAGCCUUAAUUCAAAGAGAACGAAAAUCAAAAGUAUCUAAAAUUAGAAGCGUAAGCAAUCAUCGCUCCAGAAACAUGGGAAAUACCUGAGGAGCAAUGCCUCCCAACUCCCGGUAACAAACGCCCAGCACCAGUCCCCUCACAUCAGCAGUAGCGUGGUAUGCUUUUAAAAAUACCAAAUGUAAAGGCUGUGCAGUUUUCAGAACA